AGGUUAAGUUAAUAAGGGCGCACGGUGGAUGCCUUGGCACUAGAAGCCGAUGAAGGACGUGACUAACGACGAAAUGCUUUGGGGAGCUGUAAGUGAGCAAUGAUCCAGAGAUGUCCGAAUGGGGGAACCCGGCAGGUAAUGCCUGUCACUCAUUACUGUUAAGGUAAUGUAGAGGAAGACGCAGUGAACUGAAACAUCUAAGUAGCUGUAGGAAGAGAAAGCAAAAGCGAUUGCCUUAGUAGCGGCGAGCGAAACGGCAAGAGGGCAAACCGAAGAGUUUACUCUUCGGGGUUGUAGGACUGCAACGUGGACUUAAAGAUUAUAGAAGAACUACCUGGGAAGGUAGGCCAAAGAGAGUAAUAGCCUCGUAUUCGAAAUAGUCUUUAUACCUAGCAGUAUCCUGAGUACGGCGAGACACGAGAAAUCUCGUCGGAAUCUGGGAGGACCAUCUCCCAACCCUAAAUACUCUCUAGUGACCGAUAGUGAACCAGUACCGUGAGGGAAAGGUGAAAAGCACCCCGGGAGGGGAGUGAAAUAGAACCUGAAACCGUGUGCCUACAACAAGUUCGAGCCCGUUAAUGGGUGAGAGCGUGCCUUUUGUAGAAUGAACCGGCGAGUUACGAUAUGAUGCGAGGUUAAGUUGAAGAGACGGAGCCGUAGGGAAACCGAGUCUUAAUAGGGCGCAUUAGUAUCAUGUCGUAGACCCGAAACCAUGUGACCUACCCAUGAGCAGGUUGAAGGUGAGGUAAAACUCACUGGAGGACCGAACCAGGGCACGUUGAAAAGUGCUUGGAUGACUUGUGGGUAGCGGAGAAAUUCCAAACGAACUUGGAGAUAGCUGGUUCUCUCCGAAAUAGCUUUAGGGCUAGCGUCGAUGUUAAGUCUCUUGGAGGUAGAGCACUGUUUGGGUGAGGGGUCCAUCCCGGAUUACCAAUCUCAGAUAAACUCCGAAUGCCAAUGAGAUAUAAUCGGCAGUCAGACUGCGAGUGCUAAGAUCCGUAGUCGAAAGGGAAACAGCCCAGACCACCAGCUAAGGUCCCAAAAUAUAUGUUAAGUGGAAAAGGAUGUGGGGUUGCACAGACAACUAGGAUGUUAGCUUAGAAGCAGCUAUUCAUUCAAAGAGUGCGUAAUAGCUCACUAGUCGAGUGACCCUGCGCCGAAAAUGUACCGGGGCUAAAACAUAUUACCGAAGCUGUGGAUACCUUUAUAGGUAUGGUAGGAGAGCGUUCUAUGUGCGAAGAAGGUGUACCGUGAGGAGUGCUGGAGCGCAUAGAAGUGAGAAUGCCGGUAUGAGUAGCGAAAGACAGGUGAGAAUCCUGUCCACCGUAAGACUAAGGUUUCCAGGGGAAGGCUCGUCCGCCCUGGGUUAGUCGGGACCUAAGGAGAGACCGAAAGGUGUAUCCGAUGGACAACAGGUUGAUAUUCCUGUACUAGAGUAUAUAGUGAUGGAGGGACGCAGUAGGCUAACUAAACCAGACGAUUGGAAGUGUCUGGCCAAGCAGUGAGGUGUGAUAUGAGUCAAAUGCUUAUAUCUUUAACAUUGAGCUGUGAUGGGGAGCGAAGUUUAGUAGCGAAGUUAGUGAUGUCACACUGCCGAGAAAAGCUUCUAGCGUUAAUUAUACUCUCCCGUACCGCAAACCCGACACAGGUAGUCGAGGCGAGUAGCCUCAGGUGAGCGAGAGAACUCUCGUUAAGGAACUCGGCAAAAUGGCCCCGUAACUUCGGGAGAAGGGGCGCUGACUGAUGGUCAGCCGCAGUGAAUAGGCCCAAGCAACUGUUUAUCAAAAACACAGCUCUCUGCUAAAUCGUAAGAUGAUGUAUAGGGGGUGACGCCUGCCCGGUGCUGGAAGGUUAAGAGGAGUGCUUAGCGUAAGCGAAGGCAUGAAUUGAAGCCCCAGUAAACGGCGGCCGUAACUAUAACGGUCCUAAGGUAGCGAAAUUCCUUGUCGGGUAAGUUCCGACCCGCACGAAAGGCGUAAUGAUUUGGGCACUGUCUCAACGAGAGACUCGGUGAAAUUUUAGUACCUGUGAAGAUGCAGGUUACCCGCGACAGGACGGAAAGACCCCAUGGAGCUUUACUGCAGUUUGAUAUUGAGUAUCUGUACCACAUGUACAGGAUAGGUAGGAGCCUAUGACCUCGGGACGCCAGUUUCGAGUGAGGCGUUGUUGGGAUACUACCCUUGUGUUAUGGCUACUCUAACCCAGAUAGGUUAUCCCUAUCGGAGACAGUGUCUGACGGGCAGUUUGACUGGGGCGGUCGCCUCCUAAAAGGUAACGGAGGCGCCCAAAGGUUCCCUCAGAAUGGUUGGAAAUCAUUCGCAGAGUGUAAAGGUAUAAGGGAGCUUGACUGCGAGAGUUACAACUCGAGCAGGGACGAAAGUCGGGCUUAGUGAUCCGGUGGUUCCGUAUGGAAGGGCCAUCGCUCAACGGAUAAAAGCUACCCUGGGGAUAACAGGCUUAUCUCCCCCAAGAGUUCACAUCGACGGGGAGGUUUGGCACCUCGAUGUCGGCUCGUCGCAUCCUGGGGCUGUAGUCGGUCCCAAGGGUUGGGCUGUUCGCCCAUUAAAGCGGCACGCGAGCUGGGUUCAGAACGUCGUGAGACAGUUCGGUCCCUAUCCGUCGCGGGCGUAGGAAAUUUGAGAGGAUCUGCUCCUAGUACGAGAGGACCAGAGUGGACUUACCGCUGGUGUACCAGUUGUUCUGCCAAGAGCAUCGCUGGGUAGCUAUGUAGGGAAGGGAUAAACGCUGAAAGCAUCUAAGUGUGAAGCCCACCUCAAGAUGAGAUUUCCCAUGAUUUUAUAUCAGUAAGAGCCCUGAGAGAUGAUCAGGUUGAUAGGUUAGAAGUGGAAGUGUGGUGACACAUGUAGCGGACUAAUACUAAUAGCUCGAGGACUUAUCCAA
rnacentral:rRNA from 1 species